ACCCUCCGUAUUUUCCUAAAAUAACUCAGGGUGAUUUUAGGGGUAUUCAUUAUUUUAGGAUUAAGCUCAAUAUCAUUAUUUGCGCAUCAGCACGGACAAACAGAAUUAUCUUAUAAAAAAGCCGAUAUGAAUAUCGGCUUAA
rnacentral:sRNA from 1 species